GACGAACGCUGGCGGCGUGCUUAACACAUGCAAGUCGAGCGGAGCGGCGAACGGGCGAGUAACGCGUGAGUAACUGCCCCCCUCUCUGGGAUAACAGAUGGAAACGGCUGCUAAUACCGGAUAGUGGGGGAUGACUCGGGUCCUAUCAGCUUGUUGGUGGGGUAGUGGCCUACCAAGGCGACGACGGGUAGCCGGCCUGAGGGGGCGACCGGCCACAUUGGGCGGAGGUACGGCCCAAACUCCUACGGGGGGCAGCAGUGGGGAAUAUUACGCAAUGGGGGAAACCCUGAUGGAGGAACGCCGCGUGCGGGAUGACGGCCUUCGGGUUGGAAACCGCUUUCAGCCAAUACGCGGUAGUGGCAGAAGAAGCACCGGCUAACUACGUGCCAGCAGCCGCGGUAAUAC
rnacentral:rRNA from 1 species